rnacentral:misc_RNA from 1 species
UCCGGCUUAUCACCGGCAGUCCCUCUAGAGUGCCCAACUAAAUGAUGGCAACUAAAGGCGAGGGUUGCGCUCGUUGCGGGACUUAACCCAACAUCUCACGACACGAGCUGACGACAGCCAUGCAGCACCUGUGUUCCCGCCAGCCGAACUGAAGAACCCCAUCUCUGGGGCCCAUACGGGACAUGUCAAAGGCUGGUAAGGUUCUUCGCGUAGCAUCGAAUUAAGCAACACGCUCCGCUGCUUGUGCGGGCCCCCGUCAAUUUCUUUGAGUUUUAAUCUUGCGACCGUACUCCCCAGGCGGCAUAUUUAACGCGUUAGCUCCGGCACAGAUCAACUGAAUGACCUACACCAAAUAUGCAUCGUUUAGGGCGUGGACUAC